rnacentral:rRNA from 1 species
AGAGUUUGAUCAUGGCUCAGAUUGAACGCUGGCGGCAGGCCUAACACAUGCAAGUCGAACGGUAACAGGAAGCAGCUUGCUGCUUUGCUGACGAGUGGCGGACGGGUGAGUAAUGUCUGGGAAACUGCCUGAUGGAGGGGGAUAACUACUGGAAACGGUAGCUAAUACCGCAUAACGUCGCAAGACCAAAGAGGGGGACCUUCGGGCCUCUUGCCAUCGGAUGUGCCCAGAUGGGAUUAGCUAGUAGGUGGGGUAAAGGCUCACCUAGGCGACGAUCCCUAGCUGGUCUGAGAGGAUGACCAGCCACACUGGAACUGAGACACGGUCCAGACUCCUACGGGAGGCAGCAGUGGGGAAUAUUGCACAAUGGGCGCAAGCCUGAUGCAGCCAUGCCGCGUGUAUGAAGAAGGCCUUCGGGUUGUAAAGUACUUUCAGCGGGGAGGAAGGGAGUAAAGUUAAUACCUUUGCUCAUUGACGUUACCCGCAGAAGAAGCACCGGCUAACUCCGUGCCAGCAGCCGCGGUAAUACGGAGGAUCCGAGCGUUAUCCGGAUUUAUUGGGUUUAAAGGGUGCGCAGGCGGCGCGCCAAGUCAGCGGUCAAAGUUCCGGGCUCAACCCGGUGUCGCCGUUGAAACUGGCGUGCUCGAGUGCGUGCGAGGAAGGCGGAAUGCGUUGUGUAGCGGUGAAAUGCAUAGAUAUGACGCAGAACUCCGAUUGCGAAGGCAGCUUUCCAGCGCGCUACUGACGCUGAGGCACGAAAGCGUGGGGAUCGAACAGGAUUAGAUACCCUGGUAGUCCACGCAGUAAACGAUGACUACUAGCUUUCCGGGGCGACUGUGUCCUGGGAGGCACAGCGAAAGCGUUAAGUAGUCCACCUGGGGAGUACGCCGGCAACGGUGAAACUCAAAGGAAUUGACGGGGGCCCGCACAAGCGGAGGAACAUGUGGUUUAAUUCGAUGAUACGCGAGGAACCUUACCCGGGCUUAAAUUGCAGAUGAAUUACGGUGAAAGCCGUAAGCCGCAAGGCAUCUGUGAAGGUGCUGCAUGGUUGUCGUCAGCUCGUGCCGUGAGGUGUCGGCUUAAGUGCCAUAACGAGCGCAACCCCUCUCCGUAGUUGCCAUCGGGUAAUGCCGGGCACUCUGCGGACACUGCCACCGUAAGGUGUGAGGAAGGUGGGGAUGACGUCAAAUCAGCACGGCCCUUACGUCCGGGGCCACACACGUGUUACAAUGGGGGGUACAGAGGGCC